rnacentral:rRNA from 1 species
AGUGGCAAACGGGUGAGUAACGCGUAGGCAACCUGCCCUUCAGAUGGGGACAACACCUCGAAAGGGGUGCUAAUACCGAAUGACGUUUCCUAGUCGCAUGACCUGGAAACCAAAGGCCGGGCAACCGGUCACUGAAGGAUGGGCCUGCGUCUGAUUAGCUAGUUGGUGGGGUAACGGCCCACCAAGGCGACGAUCAGUAGCCGGUCUGAGAGGAUGAACGGCCACAUUGGGACUGAGACACGGCCCUAACUCCUACGGGAGGCAGCAGUGGGGAAUCUUCCGCAAUGGGCGCAAGCCUGACGGAGCAACGCCGCGUGAGUGAAGAAGGUUUUCGGAUCGUAAAGCUCUGUUGAGAGGGACGAGAGAUAUAAUCAGGAAAUGGGUUAUAGAGGACGGUACCUUUCGAGGAAGCCACGGCUAACUACGUGCCAGCAGCCGCGGUAAUACGUAGGUGGCGAGCGUUGUCCGGAAUUAUUGGGCGUAAAGGGAGCGCAGGUGGGAAAGUAAGUCAGUCUUAAAAGUUCGGGGCUCAACCCCGUGAUGGGAUUGAAACUACUUUUCUUGAGUGCAGGAGAGGAAAGCGGAAUUCCUAGUGUAGCGGUGAAAUGCGUAGAUAUUAGGAGGAACACCAGUGGCGAAGGCGGCUUUCUGGACUGUAACUGACACUGAGGCUCGAAAGCGUGGGGAGCGAACAGGAUUAGAUACCCUGGUAGUCCACGCCGUAAACGAUGAAUGCUAGGUGU